rnacentral:rRNA from 1 species
AAAAACAUGUCUUUUAGUAUAAUUUUAAAGUCUAAUCUGCUCACUGAAUUUUAAAGAGCCGCAGUAUUUUGACUGUGCAAAGGUAGCAUAAUCAAUAGUUUUUUAAUUGAAAACUGGAAUGAAAGAUUUAAUGAUAAAUUAACUUUCUUAAUUUUAAAAAUUGAAUUUAAAAUUUAAGUUAAAAUUCUUAAAUGAUUUUAUAAGACGAGAAGACCCUAUAGAUUUUUAUUAUUAAAUAAUUUUAUUAUGUUAAAAUAUUGUUAAAUAAUUUAAUUGGGGUGAUUAUGUAAUAUACUUAACUUAAUUUAUUUAAACCAUAAAUAAUUGAAUAUUCUGAUCUAAAAUUUUUAAUUAAAAGAUUAAAUUACCUUAGGGAUAACAGCGUUAUACUAUUUAAGAGUUCAUAUCUAUAAUAGUGAUUGCGACCUCGAUGUUGAAUUAAGAUAAUAUACUGGAGCAGAAAUUGGUAAUAAUUAGUCUGUUCGACUAUUAAAUUCUUACAUGAUCUGAG